CAGUAGGGGAAUCUUCCACAAUGGGCGCAAGCCUGAUGGAGCAACACCGCGUGAGUGAAGAAGGGUUUCGGCUCGUAAAGCUCUGUUGUUAAAGAAGAACACGUAUGAGAGUAACUGUUCAUACGUUGACGGUAUUUAACCAGAAAGUCACGGCUAACUACGUGCCAGCAGCCGCGGUAAUACGUAGGUGGCAAGCGUUAUCCGGAUUUAUUGGGCGUAAAGAGAGUGCAGGCGGUUUUCUAAGUCUGAUGUGAAAGCCUUCGGCUUAACCGGAGAAGUGCAUCGGAAACUGGAUAACUUGAGUGCAGAAGA
rnacentral:rRNA from 2 species